rnacentral:rRNA from 1 species
CGGACGGGUGAGUAAUGUCUGGGAAACUGCCUGAUGGAGGGGGAUAACUACUGGAAACGGUAGCUAAUACCGCAUAACGUCGCAAGACCAAAGAGGGGGACCCUUAGGGCCUCUUGCCAUCGGAUGUGCCCAGAUGGGAUUAGCUAGUAGGUGGGGUAACGGCUCACCUAGGCGACGAUCCCUAGCUGGUCUGAGAGGAUGACCAGCCACACUGGAACUGAGACACGGUCCAG